UGGUCUCUCCCAUUUCUACUGAGCAAUUGAUUACACCUACACCUGUGACUAAUUUUGUACCUGACAUACUCUGAGGAAGGCUGGAUGGCAGAAAUGCAUCAGUGUUUUAGCGCGUUUUUAUGUUUCUAAAGUAAGCCAUUUGAAUUAAGGCUUUUUAAUAUUUUGGAAAUAGUGCCUUGGAUUCUUAUUUAUUAGAUAAAAACCCACUAAUAUUAAUUAGCAUCAUCCAAAAGUACAGGAAGAUGCACUUUGUUUUCAAGCAAUUUGAUGAUCAAAGAGGGUCCUUCAGUCCAAUAGAAAGCAGCUUCACUCCUGAAUCACCCAGAUUGUUGUCACCCAGGUUCAGAUCUCUAAGAUUUGAGGAGUUUGAGCUGAGAACGGAGGUCAGAGCUGAACAGCUUUUCUCGGCAGCAGCCUCAGAAGAACUUCUUCAGAUCGAUCAUAUUUACUCAGUGUAAACUCAUUCAGCUCUUCCUCUGAGUUCAGCAACACAAAUACCAGAGCCGACCAAUGAGAAGGAGACAAUUUGACUCCAGAGAGAAGUCUGUCAGCUCUUUUGCUGAGGUACAUUUGUACUUCUUGCACUAGAGAUUGAUCAUUCAGUUCAUUCAGACAGUGAAACAGAUUGAUGGAUUUCUCCGGAGAGGGAUUCUCCCAGAUCUUCUGCUUAAUAUAAUUGAUUAUUUUCUGAUUGCUGUGGGAGCUGCUGCUUGUCUUUAGUACACCUUGCAAGAUCGUCUGAUUGGUCUUCACCGAGAGACCCAUGAGAAAUCUGAGAAAAAGAUCCAGGUGUCCAUUCUCACUCUGUAAGGCCUUGUCCACUUCACUUUUCAGUAAAUCAGUCUGAGUUGAUUUGUGAAUCAGCUUUGUUGUUUGUUGAGAAAAGCAGAUAAGCAUGUAUAAAGCAGCCAGAAACUCCUGGAUGCUCAGAUGUACAAAGCUGAACACCUUCCCGAGGUGCAGUCCAAACUCUUCUUUGAAGAUCUGGGUGCAAACUCCUGAAUACACAGAUGCUUCUCUGACAUCAAUGCCACACUCUAUCAAGUCCUCCUCAUAGAAGAUCAGGUUUCCUUUCUCCAGUUGUUCAAAAGCCAACUUUCCCAGUGACUGGAUGGUAUUUCUGAGCUCCUUGAGAUCUAGUUCACAUUUCCCAUCAUACUUCUGAGAUUUUUGUUUCAUUUGAAAGAUCAGGAAGUGUGCGAACAUUUGAGUAAGAGUCUUUGGGAUCUCUGCAGUCUCUGCUUCACUCAGCAUUCUCUCUAGAACAGUGGCUGAAAUCCAGCAGAAGACUGGGAUGUGACACAUGAUGUACAAACUUCUUGAUGAUUUGAUAUGCAUGAUGAUUUUAUUGGCCAGACGCUGAUCAUUAAUUUUCUUCCUGAAAUACUCAUCCUUCUGAGCAUCAUUGAACCCUCGUACAUCAGUGGCCUGGUCAAUACACUCAGGAGGAAUCUUAUUGGCUGCGGCUGGUCGUGAUGUUAUCCAGAUAAGGGCAGAAGGAAGCAGAUUCCCCUUGAUGAGGUUUGUCAGCAGCACAUCCAGAGAUGCUGAUUUUGUAACAUCAAACAAACUUUGAUUGUUUGGGAAGUCCAGAGGAAGCCGACACUCAUCCAGACCAUCAAAGAUGAACAUGACUUUGUAGUCAUUGAGGUCUGUGGAUCUCAGCUCUUUGGUAUUUGUGAAGAAUUGAUGAAGAAGAUCCAUCAGACUGAGAUUCUUGUCUUUGAUCAAGUUCAGUUCUCUGAAAGGAAGUGGAAAUAUGAAGUCAACAUCCUGAUUCGCCUUUCCUUCAGUCCAAUCCAGAAUGAACUUCUGCACAGAGACUGUUUUUCCAAUUCCAGCGACUCCUUUAGUCAGCACACUUCUGAUGGGUUUGUUUUGUUCAGAUACGGUGGAGCAAGUUCUAAAAAGUAGAGGAUUGGGACUCAAUAAUUUUAUGCAACUCGCAGUAAAAAGGCAAUUGAUACCAUAAUUUGUACAUGAUAACAACAUGCAGAGUGAUGUUUUCUAAAAAAUAUUUUUGCGGCCAAGUAAAAAUUAAAAAAGUCACAUGAAUCAAAGUUCUUACUGGUCUGUAGUGUUUUAACAAGGUCUGUCUGGUUCAUCUUCCUCAGCACAUGCAGCGUGAUCUCAAGCAUUUUGUGUCCAAGUCUGUUCUGAGUCUGACCUUCAUCAUAAUCAUCAUCUUCUUUUUCAGAGCAUGCUGGGGAAUCUGGGUUUAGUAUGGCCUUGAAUCUCUUUAGCUCUUUUUUCAUCAAUGAAAUCAUUUUGUGCUCAAGUUCCUGAAAUAAAAUUUCAUUUUAGUGCUCACAUACAUAAAAUACAUAAUGCUUUAAUUUAAUUUUUAAUUUAAAAGUAUUUAAAAAAUCUUUUAUGGUCCUGUCCAUCUUUUUUAGUGUAUGAAAAGCAUGAAAAUAUGAUUAAACCUAGAUCUGUAAACAGCCUUUCCACAAUCCAUGUUGAAUAACAUUGUUGACUUCGGGAAAAAUAUCAAAAUGUUUAUUAUAUACCUUGCACUGUAUAUAUUUGUAUGAGUGUCUAUGCAUUAAACUGUCUUGAAUAUA